rnacentral:rRNA from 1 species
UUUACGCGCAAUCGCCUUGAGUUGAUCAUGGCUCAGAGCGAACGCUGGCGGCAGGCCUAACACAUGCAAGUCGAACGGAUCCUUCGGGAUUAGUGGCGGACGGGUGAGUAACACGUGGGAACGUGCCCUUUGGUUCGGAACAACUCAGGGAAACUUGAGCUAAUACCGGAUAAGCCCUUCGGGGGAAAGAUUUAUCGCCAUUGGAGCGGCCCGCGUAGGAUUAGCUAGUUGGUGGGGUAAAGGCCCACCAAGGCUACGAUCCUUAGCUGGUCUGAGAGGAUGAUCAGCCACAUUGGGACUGAGACACGGCUCAAACUCCUACGGGAGGCAGCAGUGGGGAAUCUUGCGCAAUGGGCGAAAGCCUGACGCAGCCAUGCCGCGUGAAUGAUGAAGGUCUUAGGAUUGUAAAAUUCUUUCACCGGGGACGAUAAUGACGGUACCCGGAGAAGAAGCCCCGGCUAACUUCGUGCCAGCAGCCGCGGUAAUACGAAGGGGGCUAGCGUUGCUCGGAAUUACUGGGCGUAAAGGGAGCGUAGGCGGAUAGUUUAGUCAGAGGUGAAAGCCCAGGGCUCAACCUUGGAAUUGCCUUUGAUACUGGCUAUCUUGAGUACGGAAGAGGUAUGUGGAACUCCGAGUGUAGAGGUGAAAUUCGUAGAUAUUCGGAAGAACACCAGUGGCGAAGGCGACAUACUGGUCCGUUACUGACGCUGAAGCUCGAAAGCGUGGGGAGCAAACAGGAUUAGAU